CUUCGCUGUUUUACUUCAAGGAAAGGAUGACAAUAUUACAAAGUGUCACACUUCUUUACAUUCUGCUCUGGAUGUCACGUCACUGCAAGUCCAUCCUAGUACAACAGUCGCCCAAGGUACUUAACAAGAGACCAGGUGACCCGGCAGAGCUCUAUUGCCAUCAUGAUGAGAGCAGCUACCUCUACAUGUACUGGUACCAACAGAUAAGGGGGCACGGUGGGCUGAAGCUCAUGACCUACUCCGAUAGCACUGGCCAGACCUUCGAUGAAGAUGAGUUUAAAGGCAGAUUAAACACCACCCGGGAAGGAGCUCAGAAAGGCUGGCUCACCAUCAAAAGCUUAAAAGUCACCGACACGGGAUUGUAUUUCUGCGCAGCAAGUAUGCACAGCGACACAGCUCUGCUGAGGAGGGUGCAGAAAACUCCCCCAAGCUGUUACUGCUGCAUCUUCUUGUAGGGUUGCCACCUUUUCAAAUGGCUAUAGUGGGACAUUUUCGGGACACACAUCAGA